GGGGAUAUAGUUCAGCGGCACAAGCACCUCUCUGACAAGCUUUUAAAAGGUCCUGAGUUCGAUUCCCAGUAUCCCCU
rnacentral:tRNA from 1 species